AGCACAGCAUCAUCAUGGUGACUGCAAGAACUACUGCAAUCCCUGCGGUUUUUCCUCUUGGUAAAUGCGUUCUGGUCGUGACCAAGGGUGGUCUCCCAAAUCGGCCGGGAAUAAGGCUAUUGUUGCAGAACAAAACGGCGCAACCACUGCUGUGGUAAAUAUGUUCCAGCAGAGCUGCCCACCGCCGUCGGUGUAAUGAUUUCGAUAGCUGAACAAACGCCAUCUUCUGGGCAUUCCCACAGCUUGCCGACACUAGCUAUUACAUCACGUGUGAAUGCAACUGCAACUGGCACAUAGAGGUUGUAAAGUUUUUGGUAUCGAUGAACUUACUCGAAGAAGACGAUGGCCGAAAGCAUAUUAUGAAACAUCUUCUGGCAUGCCUUUGACAAUCGUUAAGUCAGACGGAGGCUUCACAUACGAUCUUUCACACAUGGCUGGAAUUCGUUAGCGGACAGAGCACACAUUUACAAAAUAUUUAUCGUUCUGCAGAACGUG